rnacentral:SRP_RNA from 1 species
CGUGCUAGGCGGGGAGUUAGUGGUUCCUUGUUACCUGCAAUCCACUAUACGCAGGGCUGUAUGAUUGGCUGAGACCAAACUUGGCUGAUGUAACUUUUGAUAUUUUGCUGAUGACGUGAAGGUCUUUUGGGGUUGGAAACUGUGAACCUUGUGAGGGUCUGACGACAGCAACAAUAAGCGGGUCUUCCCGAUUGCCAAAAGGCAACCUUGACCGAGGUAAAAUUUCAAA